UACGUAGGUGGCGAGCGUUAUCCGGAAUUACUGGGUGUAAAGGGAGCGCAGGCGGGGCGACAAGUCAGCUGUGAAAACUAUGGGCUUAACUCAUAGACUGCAGUUGAAACUGUUGCUCUUGAGUGGAGUAGAGGCAAGCGGAAUUCCGAGUGUAGCGGUGAAAUGCGUAGAUAUUCGGAGGAACACCAGUGGCGAAGGCGGCUUGCUGGGCUCUAACUGACGCUGAGGCUCGAAAGUGUGGGGAGCGAACAGGAUUAGAUACC
rnacentral:rRNA from 1 species